CAAUUAGUAUCCUGCCAGUUAUCUCAAAAGUCCUUGAAAGGUGCAUGGAGGUCCAAUUGCGUAAAUAUAUUAGUGAUCAUAACAUCUUGCCCACCUCUCAGUCUGGUUUUCGACCUAACCAUAGCUGUACAACGGCUCUAUUAAA